AUUGAACGCUGGCGGCAGGCUUAACACAUGCAAGUCGAGCGGGGUGAUGGUGCUUGCACUAUCACUUAGCGGCGGACGGGCGAGUAAUGCUUAGGAAUCUGCCUAUUAGUGGGGGACGACAUCUCGAAAGGGAUGCUAAUACCGCAUACGUCCUACGGGAGAAAGCAGGGGAUCACUUGUGACCUUGCGUUAAUAGAUGAGCCUAAGUCGGAUUAGCUAGUUGGUGGGGUAAAGGCCUACCAAGGCGACGAUCUGUAGCGGGUCUGAGAGGAUGAUCCGCCACACUGGGACUGAGACACGGCCCAGACUCCUACGGGAGGCAGCAGUGGGGAAUAUUGGACAAUGGGGGGAACCCUGAUCCAGCCAUGCCGCGUGUGUGAAGAAGGCCUUAUGGUUGUAAAGCACUUUAAGCGAGGAGGAGGCUCUUUUGGUUAAUACCCAAGAUGAGUGGACGUUACUCGCAGAAUAAGCACCGGCUAACUCUGUGCCAGCAGCCGCGGUAA
rnacentral:rRNA from 1 species